UACGGGGGGAGCAAGCGUUGUUCGGAUUUACUGGGCGUAAAGGGCGCGUAGGCGGCACUGUUAGUCAGGCGUGAAAGUCCUGGGCUCAACCUGGGAACUGCGCUUGAUACGGCAGAGCUAGAGGAUGGAAGAGGGUCGCGGAAUUCCCAGUGUAGAGGUGAAAUUCGUAGAUAUGGGAAGAACACCGGUGGCGAAGGCGGCGACCUGGUCCAUACU
rnacentral:rRNA from 1 species